rnacentral:rRNA from 1 species
ACGAACGCUGGCGGCGUGCUUAACACAUGCAAGUCGAACGGGUCUGCCCUGUUUUUUGCGGGGUGGGUCAGUGGCGAACGGGUGAGUAACACGUGAGUAACCUGCCCCUCACUUCUGGAUAACCGCUUGAAAGGGUGGCUAAUACGGGGUGUUCUGGCUGUGCCGCAUGGUGUGGCUGGGAAAGAUUCACUUUUGUGGUGUUUUUGUGGGGGAUGGGCUCGCGGCCUGUCAGCUUGUUGGUGGGGUGAUGGCCUGGCAAGGCUUUGACGGGUAGCCGGCCUGAGAGGGUGGGCGGUCACACUGGGACUGAGAUACGGCCCAGACUGCUGCGGGAGGCAGCAGUGGGGGGUAGUGCACAAUGGGCGGAAGCGUGAUGCAGCGACGUCGCGUGAGGGAUGGAGGCCUUCGGGUUGUGAACCUCUUUCGCCGGUGAAGAAGGUCCUGCUCUUUGUGGUGGGGUUGACGGUAGCCGGGUUAUGAAGCGCCGGCUAACUACGUG